rnacentral:rRNA from 1 species
UGAGGAACAUGACCUUCGGCGGGGGAUAGCCGGCCCAACGGCCGGGUAAUACCGCGUACGACCUUUUGGGGACAUCCCCGACUGGUGAAAGCAGCAAUGCGCCGAUGGAGUGCCUCGCGGCCUAUCAGCUAGUUGGUGGGGUAACGGCCUACCAAGGCGACGACGGGUAGCUGGUCUGAGAGGACGAUCAGCCACACUGGGACUGAGACACGGCCCAGACUCCUACGGGAGCAG